UUUGUCUAGAAUAUUAUAUUGGUUAUUUUGUUUAUUUAAGAUUUUAAUAGAAGUAAUUUUAUUGUUUUUUUGUCUUAGUAAAUUUUAUGGAAAAGAUUAUAUUUAUUAUAGUUUAUUAGUAAUGUAAUUGGAUUAUUAAAUUUUUACAACAUUUAAAAGUAGAUUUAAUUUUUUGUACCUUUUGUAUCAGGGUUUAUCAAAAUUUUAUUUUUUAUUAAUUAGUCUCGAUUUAGGUUGAUUUACAAAUAGGUAAUAGUUAUUGUUUCAUUAAUAUUAUUUAUUUAUUUGUAGAAAUGAAAUGUUAUUCGUUUCCUAAUAUAUCUAGUUUCUUAAGAAAAAAUUGAAUUUUUUAAUAUUGAUGUUUUUAUUUAAUUCUUUAAUUAAAAAUAUUAAUGUAUUUAUUCUUUAGGGGAUAAGCUCUAAAGUUAUUUCCUAUAAUUUAUUAAUCUUAUAUUAUAAUAAUAAUAGGCUUUAGACCAGCAAUUUUUUUGAUUACGUUUUAGUUCAUUUUGUUUUUUUUUUUGAUUUUUUAAUUAAUUUAGGUUUUUUAUUAAGAUAAUUUAUUUAAUAUUAGAAUUUUUGUAAUAAUGAUGUAAUUAGUAUAUUUAUUUUGUUUGAACUUUUGUUUUUGUUAAUUUGUUAUAAGGAACUAGGCAAAAUUAAUUUCCGCCUGUUUAUCAAAAACAUGUCUUCUUGAUAAUAUUUUGAAGUCUAACCUGCUCACUGAUAAUAUAUUAAAGAGCCGCGGUAUUUUGACCGUGCAAAGGUAGCAUAAUCAUUAGUCUCUUAAUUAGAGGCUGGAAUGAAUGGUUUGACGAGAAAUUAACUGUCUCUUAAUAAAUUUUAGAAUUUAACUUUUGAGUUAAAAGGCUUAAAUAUUUCUUUAGGACGAGAAGACCCUAUAGAUCUUGACAUUUAUAUUUAUAUAUUUUCUUUAGUUUAUCUUUUUAUAUUAAAUUUUAAUGUUUUGUUGGGGUGACAUGAAGAAUAAAUAAACUCUUCAUUAUUAAAUCAUUUAUUUAUGUUUAUUUGAUCCAUAAGUUAUGAUCAUAAGAUUAAGUUACCUUAGGGAUAACAGCGUAAUUAUUUUUGAGAGCUCAUAUCGACAAAAUAGUUUGCGACCUCGAUGUUGGAUUAAGAUUAACUUUAGGUGUAGUAGCUUAAUGAUUAGGUCUGUUCGACCUUUAAAUUCUUACAUGAUCUGAGUUCAGACCGGCGUGAGCCAGGUCGGUUUCUAUCCUAAGAUAAAAAUUAAUCAUAUUAGUACGAAAGGACCAUAUGAUUAAAAUAUUUUUUUAUAAUUGGUUAAAGUUAAUUU
rnacentral:rRNA from 1 species